rnacentral:rRNA from 1 species
AGUGAACGCUGGCGGUAGGCCUAACACAUGCAAGUCGAACGGCAGCACAGUAAGAGCUUGCUCUUACGGGUGGCGAGUGGCGGACGGGUGAGGAAUACAUCGGAAUCUACUUUUUCGUGGGGGAUAACGUAGGGAAACUUACGCUAAUACCGCAUACGACCUACGGGUGAAAGCAGGGGAUCUUCGGACCUUGCGCGAUUGAAUGAGCCGAUGUCGGAUGAGCUAGUUGGCGGGGUAAAGGCCCACCAAGGCGACGAUCCGUAGCUGGUCUGAGAGGAUGUUCAGCCACACUGGAACUGAGACACGGUCCAGACUCCUACGGGAGGCAGCAGUGGGGAAUAUUGGACAAUGGGCGCAAGCCUGAUCCAGCCAUACCGCGUGGGUGAAGAAGGCCUUCGGGUUGUAAAGCCCUUUUGUUUGGAAAGAAAAGCAGCAGGUUAAUACCCCGCUGUUCUGACGGUACCCAAAGAAUAAGCACCGGCUAACUUCGUG